rnacentral:lncRNA from 1 species
UGAAAUACAGGGGUUUAUAAACCCAAAAGACGUCUACUGAGAUUUGGAUCAUGUGGACUGGCCAGGUCCAACAUAAUCACUUCCCAGUUACACGGGAAACAUCAUCCCGAACUUGGUAAUUCUGGGUCUUCUAAAUUCUCAUCAUACUAUACAUAACAAAACUUAAGUUCGUAACAGUAAGCUAAUAGCUGAAGCAUAGGGUCUUAUCUCUUAGACUUAUAUUCUGAACGUUCAACAUUCUUCCAUAAGUAGAUAUAUUACAACAUAGUAAUGUAACAGUCCAACCAUAUUCUUUCCAUAACUCAUCAUGAAACGAAGUCAAUUUGAUAUUCUGUCAUGUGUGAACUUUCGAACGUAGAGACUAUGCUUAAAACCUUCGUGGUGUAACGUCCAUCUUAAAGUUAUCUCAUGCCACCUUUCGUUGACUUACUUUCAACGUGGCACGUAUCUUUUCAGUCUAUCU